GCAGGGGUUGCCGAGCUUGGUCAAAGGCGCAGGGCUUAGGACCCUGUUCUGUAGAGAUUCGCGGGUUCGAAUCCCGUCCCCUGCA
rnacentral:tRNA from 1 species